rnacentral:SRP_RNA from 1 species
UGGAGUCUCCGAACCGUGUCAGGUACUGGCGGAAGCACAAG